rnacentral:rRNA from 1 species
UACGUAGGGUGCAAGCGUUACUCGGAAUUACUGGGCGUAAAGCGUGCGUAGGUGGUUUGUUAAGUCUGUUGUGAAAGCCCCGGGCUCAACCUGGGAAUGGCAAUGGAUACUGGCAGGCUAGAGUGCGGUAGAGGGUAGUGGAAUUCCCGGUGUAGCGGUGAAACUCGUAGAUAUCGGGAGGAACACCAGUGGCGAAGGCGACUUCCUGGCCUGUUCUUGACGCUGAGGCGCGAAAGCUAGGGGAGCAAACGGG